GGGGAUUUAGCUCAGUGGUAGAGCGCUUGCCUAGCAAGCGCAAGGCCCUGGGUUUGAUCCCCAGCUCCA
rnacentral:tRNA from 1 species